GCUGGUGUAGCUCAGUAGGUAGAGCAGCUGAUUCGUAAUCAGCAGGCCGACGGUUCGAAUCCGCCCAUCAGCUCCA
rnacentral:tRNA from 1 species